UUAUUAUAACUAUGUCAGCACAUCCCCCUCCUCCGUUCACUAGUCACCCCCUUUGUGAGCCUCCUUUCUUAGGCUGUGUAAAUGGCCUAGGAAUGAAGGAAACUUCGUUUCUCUCUGAUGUCACACUGAGCUGGAGACAUCUGUGCUGAGGGUUAGAGACCUGCACUGAAAGGUGGUUUUGAGACAGUUAGGGACCAUGGGACCAAGCGCCAAGUGAAAAACAUUGUGCAUCUAGAGCACUUUCUGUUGGCUGUUCUUGUUAAACUGCGAGCCUUUACAGAGCAGAACCAGAGGACUCAGCUCCGAAAAGCACCAAUGAGCUGCCUGAGUUGUCUGCCAAUAUUGACCAAUAAGGACGAGACCUUCCAACCAAUCAGGAUGCGGCCCUUUGAACCAAUCAGAAUAAGGUUCCUCCAACCAAUCAGGACGAGGCUCCCCCCUUCCCUUUUCAUAUUGGACCCGAGUGAGAACCUGAGCGGGAACUUUCUGUAUGAAGAUUUAGAAAAUGAGGUUCAGAGAAUUCCAAGAUCACCUGGAGCCUAAAGGGGGAAUUUCAGAAAAUUGUACCAAAUAUGAAUCUUAAGAAAUAAACAUUUGAAUCCAGUGUGUGGUUGAAAGGAACCCUGGAGGAGAGGUGGUGGCAGCUGGAAAGAAAAGACCAUGCCUCCUGGGUCUGUAGGAAGAACGCUGCAGGGACCCCCAGAGAGAGCUAAAGCAGAAAGCAUCCUCAAGGCCCUGUCCCCUCCAGGUGUAUCCUGGGGCCUCCAGUCCGUGUCACAGCAGGUGCAGGAGCUACCAGCGUCCCUCCUCCUUCCUGGCUGAGCAGAGUCCACGGUAUCUCCAGCUCGCAGAAGACCUGUCUUUGAAAGCACCUGUGCAUUUGCUUGCCUGCUUUGGAUCACUUAAGGCAGGCUUGAGUGGCCUUUCAAUUGGUUAGUUUUGUGGCUGGUUUAUUCCUCUGGCGGGGUAAGAGGAUUUCAGUUAGCUGCGUAAAGGAAGAAAGGCAGUUCGGGGGCCAAGUGCUUGGAGCAGCAAACGUCAGGUCAGGCUGAAGGACGCUGAAGUUUCCCACCGACCUCAGAAGCCCUCUUGAGCAACUUUCUCUGCAGGUUUGGUGCCAACAUUGUUUUAUUUUGUUUUCCACUCAGCCAGAUAUUCACAAUCUGUUUCCCCCACCUGGAAAGUUGCAUAGUCUGACAGGCACAAGGGAUUUAAGAGAUUCCUAGCUGGCGCUGCUACUGUGGAUUAGCAGCUGGGCAGAAAGGACGGUUGGCCUCUUUGAUGUGCCUUUACGAGUACAUAGAAAUGCAGAACUGAGACAAUUUCCUGGAUCAUUCUAAUAAAUAUGAACUAUAGUUGCCCAAAGUAUUUUGGGUCAUAAUUUUCAGACAGAGACCAAAGUGAUGCAUGUCUUGAUUAUCUCAGUUCUUUAUGACAGGCCCGGAGAAACCUAGUCUAAGGAUUUAACUUAGCAGCCAUUUAUUGAUUUUCUGAUGCACAAGAGAAAGGGUCUGGGAAGGUCAGCACUUCUAUUACAAAGGCAAGUAAGACCUGGUCUUGAAUCUCACGUGGUUUCUGGUUUUAGUGGAGGUGGGUGGGGUGAGACGUAUACAGCCUGCUCACUUUAAGAAAAUCCUGUCUUGGGGCCCCGGGGUGGCUCAGUCGGUUAAGCUUCCGACUCCUUGUUUCAGCUCAGGUCAUGAUCUCACCGUUUGUGAGUUCAAGCCCCGUGUUGAGCUCUGUGCUGCCAGCGCAGAGCCUGCCUGGGAUUCUCUCUCUCCUUCUCUC